CCCCCGCUCACUGCAACUAGAGAAAGCCCGCGCACAGCAACGAAGACCCAAUGCAGCCAAAAAUAAAUACAUAAAUAAAUAAGAAGAUCCUUCUCUUUGGAAGAGGCCACCAUUUUUCUUUUCUUCAUACUGCCAUUCAGUCAUUCAAAAAGUCUUAUAUAACAUAUAUGAAUGAAUCUUUCUCAAUUCAUUUUGGUUUAUUUUGAAUUCCCAACAGACUUACAUGAUCUCUGCUCCCUUAAAGCUCUGAACCUAUUGAUAUUUGCAACUGAAUAGACUAGAGUUAUGUUUUACGAAAGUAGAGUCGGCCUGGACUCAGAUAAUCAUUUUUUUUCUUCAGUCAUUCAACAAACACUUAUUGAAUGUGGAGUAGAUCCAGGUUUUGGUAUGGCCUAAACCUUAUCAAAUGUUAGGGUGCUCUUUGAAAAAGAGAAUAGAAAAAAAUUUUUUAAGUCUUGAAAAUUUCUGUGCAAUUGAGAGGGCCUGAAGUUAUUUUAUUCUUCACUGACUUUAUGGCCAGUCUAUUCUUCACUACUUACCGUGUGUAGGUACUGUUCUAUACUGUUCCAGGUGCCUAGAAACACCAGUGCAAAAACAAAACAAAAAAAACCUAAAAACCAAAAAACAGACAAAGCUUCUAGAUGAGGUGUAUGUUUUCAGCAACACCAAAUUUGUGACUUGAUAAUUAAUUAAUUUAAAAAUAAAAAGGAAAUAUUCCUGGUAAAUACUUAUUCCCUAAAAUUUAGCGUAUUGUUGAGAAUAUUAAUAUUAUAGGUAGAUCAUACCUUAUCAUGAGAACAGUCCUCAGCUUUCUAGGACUCCAUGUACCCUACCCCAAAGAAUGUGAGUCCUAGCUGAAAAACUCCCUUUUUUUUGCACACACCCAGCCGUGGUCAGUAGGCUGCUUUGCUGUCAGGCUCUUGGUCCCUGGGACAAUGUGGGUCCUGGGCAUAGAUGGGAAAGCCCUUCCCCAAGUUUGCCAGACCCCAGUCACAAGCAUUUCCAUGCAGUGCUACAUCAGCCUCCUUCUUGUCUCUGAUUUUGGAUUCCAUAUCCUUUCUCACUACUGUGUGAUUAUAGGAAUUACCCAUCCAGAUAACAGGGAGAUAUAUAAUCACAGAAAUAGGGGAGCCACACACACUCACAUGACCUAUGUUUGAAAUGACAGUAUGCCCUGAUAUUGUCUAGCUGUAAGUCUUGCACUACAGCAAUUUAUGAUUCAAUGUAAUAAAAUAUGAUUCAAUCAAUAUUCUCUCAUUUGGAGUGUAUGAGACCUUUCAAAUGGAGACAAAACAUUUCCCUGUGGCCCUGGAGGCAUCACGCAUGUGUACGUCUGGAUGGGUCUCUCAUCCACAUUGCUAAUGCGCCUCCUUUCUUUUUCACAGAAAGCACGGUCACAGGGGGUAAGUGGUCUAGUCCUCCCAUGGCCUCCUUGGGGGGGUGGGGAGGGGAAGGGAGGACUCUUACCCCCAAGGAUAUAGAGACCUGAGCACAGAUAGUGGAGCUCCCAAUGUAAACAAUUCUUCAAAUUCCAGUGACUUUGACCUUGAGACUGAAAACAUUCUGGACAUCAGGUAGUUCUUUUUAAAUGAAAAGAUCACUGCUGGCUGAUAGUCAAUUAUCCAGAGUUUAGGCAAAGGGAAAAAAACUAGUAACAUUUUGAGCAGAGAGGUCACUAAAGUACUGGGAUUGCCAUGAGAAUAUUUCUUAGUCUACAGAAAUAUGAAAAAUCUUAACAGCAUCCAAAUAAGGAAUGUUAUUAUGCAGAGAAGAAAAAAUUUCCUUACUAAAAGGCAGGGAAAAAGCAUAGAGACAUAAGAUUUCUUUUUAAAGCAGACUUACUAAUUCUUCCUGUUCUGAGCUGUUCAACUUUAUAUAUAUUAUUGACUUCUUCCUGUGGGAAGGGCUGUGGCAGCUGAGCUCUGCAGCUCAAGCAUGUGUCAAGGAUAGUGACAUCAUUGAGUUACUGGCAGCCCAAGUUGUUGUUUUGGCCGGGCCUCGAGGCUUGUGGGAGCUUAGUUCCCGGACCAGGGAUAGAACCCAGGCACACCACGGCAGUGAAAGUGCUGAGUCCUAACCACUGGACGGCCAAGGAUUUCCCAAGAGCCCAAGUUCUAUUUCCCCAAAACAAAACUGGAUGAUAUGAGCUUCUGUCCAGGACCGGAAAUGGUCACCAGGCUCUUCUUCGGCAUGGCUUUUUAUCUCCUGUGGGCAGGACCUGUGGAGGCCGGGAUCACCCAGAAACCAAGACACAAGAUCACAGUGACAGGAGAGACAGUGACUCUGGAAUGUCACCAGACUGAUAACCAUGACUAUAUGUACUGGUACCGACAAGACCUGGGACACGGGCUGAGGCUGAUCCAUUACUCCAAUAGUGUUGGCAACAUUGAGAAAGGAGAAAUCCCUGAUGGGUACAACGUCUCGAGAUCAAAAACAGAGGAUUUCCCCCUGACCCUGGAGUCUGUUAUCCCCUCCCGGACAUCUGUGUACUUCUGUGCCAGCAGUGACUCCACAGUACUGCACAUCUGCUUCUUCUCUGCACAUAAAGCGUGGUUAGAAAGACUGAGGGUUGCCUGCACACGUGAGGUCUGGCCCCAACCCUCAGAAGCCCCUGUCUCCAUCAAAGGCACAGAGUUCUUGCCAGCAUGGGGGCUGGACAGCAGAGGGCAGUGUGACUCUCAGUGCUGAAGUCUGCCCCAUGCCCGUCUUAGCCUGACUACGGGUCAGCUCAACACUACAGCUAGCUGGUUCUCUCUUCUGAGGUCCCCUCUGCUUGCAGAAAGGAAAGUGCAUCUUUACUUGAGAUACAUGAAGAUCCCCUUGAUAAUCUCAAAGGCCCACAUCCUUCUCUCCCCUGUGAGCUUUGUGACGUCUUCAUCUACUGCCUACCCCACCCUCUACUAUCCUUCACCUUACAAGUCAGAAACCUUCACUCACGGGGACUUCCCUGGUGGCCCAGAGGUUAAGAAUCUGCCUUCUAAUGCAAGGGACAUGGGUUCAAUCUCUGGUCGGGGAACUAAGAUCC